rnacentral:misc_RNA from 1 species
GUAGUGUGGAAGAAUACCAAGAUAAAUUUGAGGAUUCAGGAAUUAGAAAGGAGAAUUUUAUGGCAGGCCUUGGAGAAGCUUAUUUUCUGGUAGGAUUCAUUGGGGUAUUAAGAGAUGAUAUAAGACCUACUAGUAGAAUGUUGAGACCCGUUGCCUUAUACCAAGCUUUUGAAGGUGUUAGGCUGCAAGAAUUAUUAGUAGAAAAUACCAGAAAAUUCGGACCCUUCACCAAAUCCAAUACCUUCAAACUUGUGACUUAUAGACUCGCUUCAAACUACCAAAAUUACAGUAAUUCCUAUAAGACUACUACAACCAAUCAUAGCUUCAUUUACCCACCAAAACCAUCAAAUAUUGACAACCCACAACCCUGGAAACCUCAACCCAAUAAUAAUAUUACCAAUUCUAGGCUACCUUCCACUUCCUAACCUACCACUAGUGAACCCUCAGUCAACCAAAACUUAGUGAAAAUCAAUCCUCCAAACCAACAACAACUUCAUAAAAGAACUUUCAAACCUUGUUAUAGGUGUGGUAAGAAGUACUUUCCUGGUCAUACUUGUAAACCAAAGGUAGCCAUAGCAAUUCAAAUAGAGUAGGAGGAAGAACCAGUUGAGGAGGGAUGU